UUAAUUCAUAAUUUGCACUCCAUUGUCUAUACAAUUUGUACUUUUACAUGAAUAUUUAUGGUGCCUAUUCUUAAACUAUAGCAAAGGACUCGAGUUAUGACCAUGGCCGGAAAUACAUGAUGGACGGAGUCUGCCAACAAAAUGUGUAACACUCAAUUUGCAGGCAAUCAGAGUUGCUCCUGCUGAAUGCACACAGGUAACGCUAUCACGCAAGAAGCACACGACAAGAACAUGAAGCAGAUAGCACGCCAGGACUAUUCCAGCUCUAUUCAGCCACUUUUCCAGAAGAGAGGAAGCAGCGUGUUUGAAAGUACCAGAAAUUGGAACGUGAGCAACCUAGAACUCCUGGAAUUGACAGCAGUCAGAAGUCCUCAAGCUCAAGCAUUAGGGAAGAGUGGGGACCAGGCUACUCCUCAACAUCCCACCUGUCAAUGCUGCAGGGGAAUAUGAACUUCUGCUCCCUUCUAGAUGAGAUGUUCCACGUUUUUGCGGUCUGGGUAGUUUCUUGAGGACAUCACUUCUAGGGAUGAGUCCUUCAUCAUUCUCUUUGAAUGUGAAGGGAUAUUUUGUUGACUGUGCAGGCACCACAAGCCCACACUUAAGAAAGGCCACACAAAGAGGGCUUUUGUUGGGUUUGGAGCGGUUAUCUACAAAACGAUGACCUGGAACAGCACAUCACCACAGAGCACCACCAGGACAGCAUCAGAUGCCAGACAUCUCUUGCAUCUGGCAUCUCAGUGAUGGACACCUUUGAGCCCACUGUUGCUGUGGCACAUGAGGCAAUCAUUGGUGGGUUCAAGUGCCUAUUCUGGCUCAUAAAAAAUGAACUGGCCCACCACACACACUUCUCAAAGCUUCUAGGGUGUAACUACUUCAGGAAAUUGAAGGUAAUGGUCACCUAGCCAUCAUUUAAGAUUGGCUGAAGAUUUUAUUAAAGAGUGAAUACAAUUUACAAAGUCCUUUUUUUCCUUUUUCCAAUGUCAAGAUUGACCAGAGGAACAAUUAUAGAUCUCAUUGUAUCAUUGACGAGAUGCUUGAGAUCUUAACAGAAGUCAUUGAGGAGCUAAUUCUCAUCGAGAUUAAAUCAUCACAGGCAAUUAGCCUGGAAAACAAUGAGAGCACAGAUGUCUCAACGUAGAGGCAACUCUAUUUGCACGUUCAGUAUGGGAACAUUUAUUUUCUUUGAUAUCAGAAUCCCAUAAAUCCUAGGUCCUGUAUGAACUGUAAAUACUAAACACACGCCUAUGCUCUCUCUCUCAGAUACCUGGAUAAAGAGGGACAUGUUCCCAUUAUCCCCUUUUAAAAUGGCUGUUAAAGAGCAAAGUGAAUGCUCUGUUCAGGGCAGAAAUUUGUUACCCCAAAACUUCAUAUUCAUCUUUGUACCAGAACACAUUGACACAUUAUAUUUGCACCUAAGUAGUUCCCAUGACACUGUUGAAUGUAUUGUCUUAAUCAGUUAAAGUUUUCAACAAUUCUAUUUUUGAAAAAAGUUUACAUGGUUUCUUUACUUGGAAACUUAAUAUAAAUGAAGAUUUUUAUUUUUUGCACUAUACUUCAUUUCUUCAGCUCUGUUUCUCUUAACACAGAAAAAUGUGUUUUGCAUGCAGAUCUGCCACUGUAACUGCAAAUUGAUUUCAGUUUACAGUUCUUCUUGGUGUAUUUAUUUUCUCAUUCAUUACAUGUCUGAAAUUGGUACCAUUGAUACCAGUAGCCUGCAUUAUAUCCAGUCAGUAGGUGAGGAAAUAUGAACUGUU